AACGACGACGUCUUGUCAUAUUAUAACCUUGCGCCGGCUCUGAAUCGUCGUCUAGGGCGCUGAAUGGUGUUCUGUUUUCGUUGAUCGCAUGGAAAAAGCCCUGUUAAACUCUGCGUUGGAAUGUUUCAGAUUGCUCUGGAGCCACCAUGGUGCAUUCUUGUUUUAUUGCUGUUUUCUGAGGUGGAAAUCUGCUUGAAGCAAAGUUUUUCAUAUCUUUACGUUAUCUUUCAUAAAUAUAAAACAUGAAGAAAAAACAAUAUUUUGAGCAAAAAAUUUGACAAUGUAUAUCAAUAUGGACCAGAUGAGAAA